rnacentral:rRNA from 1 species
AUGUUAGAAGAAUUUUUUAAGGUAAUAUGUAUAAAUUAUUUGGUAUGCAUACAUAUUUUGGAUGCAUUUAAUGAAGUGUAUUUGAUAAUAUUACAAAAACAUAUGUAUAUUCAUUUUCAUUGUAAUGAUGUGUAUAUUAAAGGCCCCGAGUAUAAGUCUCGCCCCAGGCCCCCAAAAUCUCAGGACCGGCCCUGCUUCACGGGUCUGGAGGCGGUGAGAUGCACCCGGCGAUCGCCGGAAGGGAACAACACGGACGUGAAGGACGGGCGUUGUCGUAGGCUUGGUUUAGGUCGGGUUGCCUUUUUAGUGAAAAAUAUCAAAAUGUAA